GACGAACGCUGGCGGCGCGCUUAACACAUGCAAGUCGAACGGAGAGGCCUGCUUUCCCUUGUGGAUUGCGGGUACUCGAGUGGCGAACGGGUGAGUAACACGUGAGUGAUCUGCCCCCAACUUGGGUAUAAGCCUGGGAAACUGGGUCUAAUUCCCGAUAGGACUGCAGGGUGGUGCCUGUGGUGGAAAACGAUUUUCUUGUGGUUGGGGAUGAGCCCGCGGCCUAUCAGCUUGUUGGUGGGGUAAUGGCCUACCAAGGCGGCGACGGGUAGCCGGUCUGGGAGGGUGGACGGUCACAUUGGGACAGAGUUACGGCCCAGACUCCUGCGGGAGGCAGCAGUAGGGAAUAUUGCACUGUGGGCGGAAGCCUGAUGCAGCGACGCCGCGGGGGGGAUGGCGGCCUUCGGGUUGUAAACUCCUUGCGACGGCGAGGAAGCCGCCUGGUUGGGAGUGUGGUGACGGUAGUGGUAGAAGAAGCACCGGCUAACUACGUG
rnacentral:rRNA from 1 species